UGUUGAUCAUGAGGGCUGAUGUGCAUAAAUCAUGUGAUUUGGAUGUUAAAGCUAGCAGGUGAUCAUCAUUAAUUUUAAAGCACUGAAACUUUCUCGUUUUAGAAAAAGAAGAUAAAAGAAAAAAAAAAGAAGCCAAAAUAUGGGAUGAUGAAACAAUUUUCAUGCUGCUUCUAUGCAUAACUGCAUGUAAACCAUUUCAUUUACAAUAUUACCAUACAUUUAUGAACUUUCUACAUCAAUCUUGAACCAUCUCACUCAGAUAUGAGAUAACACACUUUCUUGUUUCUUUCACUUUCAAACGUUACCAAGAAGAAACAAAAUAAAGGCUCACUAUGUUUUGCUUUAUAUAAUCAUUUUUUUAUUUCUUGAAUAAUCAUCAAGAUCCUUAGUAAUUAUAACUUUUUCAGAAGGUAACGUACAACUUGUAACUUAAUUAUAUAGAAGAAUGAAAAUUACAACAUUAACUAAACAUUGCUGCUCUCCAAAUUUCAUUAGGCGAUGAAUUCGUCUCUCCUGCAAUCUCUAAGUCUUAUCUUAUGUUUGCAACUUCUGCACCUUCAUAUUACACGUCGCAACAUUCCACUUUUCUCGAUCCCCUAAGAACAAUAAAACACAAUUAAUUGAAAUUUUUAGUAAUGAAAUAAAAAUCAAUGAUAACAGUUCUGCUAAAGACACUAAGAAUUCUCAAAUAUAGCAAAAUCAUUAUAUUUUAUGACUAAAAAACAUCCCUUUCUACAAAAAAAAAUAAUGAUUAGAUUUUAAACCCUAAUGUGAAUAUGAGAACAAAUCAUACUUUUUGGGAAACUUGAAUACUAGUCGUAACUCGUUUUGAGAUAUCUAUGAGAUAAUAAAAUAAUCUAACCUGUUUGGGAGUUUUGGGAGAGAAGACUCGGAUCCAUGCGAGAGUAUCCGCAGAUAUAUUACCGGAUAGGCCGGGAACAAGAAGUCAAUGUUUCUAGGAAACUUCCUUGUGUAAGAAGUAACAACUUUUUCAUUCUCUUGUUCAAAUGAAUCGAAGAAGAACCAGUGAGGAGCUUCACAUGAAUCUCGAGACACUGGUCUCGUGUUAAAACAUGUAAGCUGGAAGGCAUCCUCGGAGCCAAGGAUGGAAUGUCUCGAUAGGACGCAUCAAUUGGCUGCGUGAGAAUAUCUUCUCAUAGAUACGAGGAGAGUAUCCCCAUGAAGACAACUUCAUCAAGUAUGAACAAAAGAUAUUGAUCUCUAGUGCAAGCUACAUACAAAAUCUGCGGCAAUUACAAGGUAAGCUAAACUAAUAUUCAACC
rnacentral:lncRNA from 1 species